UACGUAGGGGGCAAGCGUUGUCCGGAUUCAUUGGGCGUAAAGAGCGUGUAGGCGGCCAGGUAGGUCGGUUGUGAAAACUGGAGGCUCAACCUUCGGACGUCGACCGAAACCAUCUGGCUAGAGUCCGGGAGAGGGGAGUGGAAUUCCUGGUGUAGCGGUGAAAUGCGCAGAUAUCAGGAAGAACACCCGUGGCGAAAGCGGCUCUCUGGAACGGUACUGACGCUGAGACGCGAAAGCGUGGGGAGCGAACAGG
rnacentral:rRNA from 1 species